UCGAAUCCCACUUCUGACAUUACAUUUGGAUUUCGUUGAUUGUGAUUAUCUGUUCAAACUUUGUAAUAUGGAGAACAUUUGGAAAAAUUAAGGAGGUUUAAAUUCAAAGUGACUGGCUGGCUACUUUGGGGUAGUAGAAAGGGGAAAUGAGAGGGGUGUCUUUCUGUCUCAAUCUGUGUGUUUGCACGUCCGUGUCGGGGCAUUAGUUUAUGUAAGUAGUGUAAUCCAUGUAACUAUGGUAGGGUUACAGUGCAUGGUAGCUGGGGUUUAUUAUCGGUCCUUGUUUUACAGACAUUUGAACAUACGAGAGCAGUAACCAUGAUGGCGUUUUGUGUUGAUUGAUUCGAAGGGUCUAAUAAAAUACGUCAGGAUGGCCGAGCGGUCUAAGGCGCUGCGUUCAGGUCGCAGUCUCCUCUGGUGGCGUGGGUUAGAAUGCCACUUCUGACAUUACAUUUGGAUUUCGUUGAUUGUGAUUAUCUGUUCAAACUUUGUAAUACGGAGAACAUUUGGAAAAGUUAAGGAGGUUUAAAUUCAAAGUGACUGGCUGGCUACUUUGGGGUAGUAGAAAGGGAAAAUGAGAGGGGUGUCUUUCUGUCUCAAUCUGUGUGUUUGCACGUCCGUGUCGGGGCAUUAGUUUAUGUAAGUAGUGUAAUCCAUGUAACUAUGGUAGGGUUACAGUGCAUGGUAGCUGGGGUUUAUUAUCGGUCCUUGUUUUACAGACAUUUGAACAUACGAGAGCAGUAACCAUGAUGGCGUUUUGUGUUGAUUGAUUCGAAGGGUUUGUUGAAAUACGUCAGGAUGGCCGAGCGGUCUAAGGCGCUGCGUUCAGGUCGCAGUCUCCUCUGGAGGCGUGGGUUCGAAUCCCACUUCUGACAUUACAUUUGGAUUUCGUUGAUUGUGAUUAUCUGUUCAAACUUUGUAAUAUGGAGAACAUUUGGAAAAGGUAAGGAGGUUUAAACUCAAAGUGACUGGCUGGCUACUUUGGGGUAGUAGAAAGGGGAAAUGAGAGGGGUGUCUUUCUGUUUCAAUCUGUGUGUUUGCACGUCCGUGUCGGUGCAUUAGUUUACGUAAGUAGUGUAAUCCAUGCAACUAUGCUAACGUUACAGCGCAUUAAAUUAAAUUCGUUUCGUGUUGAUUGAUUCGAAGGGGUAUGAUGGAUUUCGUCCGGAUGGCCGAGCGGUCUAAGGCGCUGCGUUCAGGUCGCAGUCUCCUCUGGAGGCGUGAGUUCGAAUCCCACUUCUGACAUUACAUUUGGAUUUCGUUGAUUGUGAUUAUCUGUUCAAACUUUGUAAUAUGGAGAACAUUUGGAAAAGGUAAGGAGGUUUAAACUCAAAGUGACUGGCUGGCUACUUUGGGGUAGUAGAAAGGGGAAAUGAGAGGGGUGUCUUUCUGUCUCAAUCUGUGUGUUUGCACGUCCGUGUCGGUGCAUUAGUUUACGUAAGUAGUGUAAUCCAUGCAACUAUGCUAACGUUACAGCGCAUUCAAUUAAAUUCGUUUCGUGUUGAUUGAUUCGAAGGGGUAUGAUGAAUUUCGUCCGGAUGGCCGAGCGGUCUAAGGCGCUGCGUUCAGGUCGCAGUCUCCUCUGGUGGCGUGGGUUAGAAUGCCACUUCUGACAUUACAUUUGGAUUUCGUUGAUUGUGAUUAUCUGUUCAAACUUUGUAAUACGGAGAACAUUUGGAAAAGGUAAGGAGGUUUAAACUCAAAGUGACUGUCUGGCUACUUUGGGGUAGUAGAAAGGGGAAAUGAGAGGGGUGUCUUUCUGUCUCAAUCUGAGUGUUUGCACGUCCGUGUCGGUGCAUUAGUUUAUGUAAGUAGUGUAAUCCAUGCAACUAAGCUAACGUUACAGCGC
ensembl:lncRNA